GCUGGGUGUGGUGGUGCAUACCUGUAAUUCCAGCCACCCAGGAGGCUGAGGCAGAAGGAUCUCAAGUUUGAGGUCAGCUUCAGCAACUUAGUGAGGCCCUAAGUAACUUAGUGAGAACCUGAUUCAA
rnacentral:sRNA from 1 species